GUACACGCUGUGACUAGCAUAUCAAUAAGCGGAGGAUAAGAAACUAACAAGGAUUCCCUUAGUAACGGCGAGUGGAGCGGGAAGAGCUCAAAUUUGAAAUCUUCAAGGUUUUACCUUGACGAAUUGUAGUUUAAAGAAGUGUUUUCUGCUGAAGUUUUGGUAAAAGUUCUUUGGAAUAGGACAUCAUAGAGGGUGAGAAUCCCGUAUUUGACCAUUAUUUUCAGCUUUGUGAUACACUUUCAAAGAGUCGGAUUGUUUGGGAAUGCAGUCCCAAAAUGGGUGAUAAAUUUCAUCUAAAGCUAAAUAUUGGCGAGAGACCGAUAGCGAACAAGUACCGUGAGGGAAAGAUGAAAAGAACUUUGAAAAGAGAGUUAAACAGUACGUGAAAUUGUCGAAAGGGAAGCGUUUGACACCAGUGUUGUUUUCUCGAAAAUCAAUUAAAAAUGGCUCGAUUUUGUAUUGCUUGAGACCUUAAAAGCUCACUGUACAUUUUUCGUGUCUUUUUUAAUGCACCUUUUCGUUUAACAAGUCAACAUCAGUUUCUUUUGUUGUAAAAGGGUCAUUGGAAGGUGGCUUUCUUUUCGGAGAAAGUGUUUAUAGCCUUUGGCCUCUGCAAUCGAAGAGACUGAGGUCUGCAGCGUAGACUCUUCGGGGUUAGAUACAUUUAUGCUAAGUUAUAGCUUUUUAUAGACAACUUGCUGACUAUAAUUAGUCCUGUAGCUUACUCGCUUAUGCUAUUUUACCUACGCUUAGGAUGUUGAGUAGCGACAUACGCAC
rnacentral:rRNA from 1 species